AACGAACGCUGGCGGCAGGCCUAACACAUGCAAGUCGAAUGCCCUAGAAACAGGGAGUGGCAAACGGGUGAGAAACGCGUGGGACCCUUCCCAGUGGUUCGGAAUAACACAUCGAAAGUUGGGAUAAUACCGCAUACGCCCGCAAGGGGAAAGAUUUAUCCACAUUGGAUGGGCCAGCGGCGGCUUAGCUGGUUGGUAGGGUAACGGCGUACCAAGGCGACGUUCCGUAGCUGGUCUGAGAGGAUGAUCAGCCACACUGGGACUGAGACACUGCCCAGACUCCAACGGGAGGCAGCAGUGGGGAAUAUUGGACAAUGGGCGCAAGCCUGAUCCAGCCAUGCCGCGUGAGUGUCGAAGGCCUUAGGGUUGUAAAGCUCUUUUGGCGUGGACGAUAAUGACGGUACCCGCAGAAUAAGUCCCGGCUAACUUCGUGCCAGCAGCCGCAGUAACAC
rnacentral:rRNA from 1 species